rnacentral:other from 1 species
CGGUCGCUGCGGGAUUCGUAAGGUUAUUGAUCCCUGGGGCCAAUGUUUCCUUCUAGGGAGCUGUCUCUGCCGGACCCGUGGGUUCGGUAUAUGGCGCCCACCUGCAUCAGCAGGCCACAGAGGAUGAUACAACCUACGGUCAUUGCGGCGCCGUC